GCAUUAAUGGGGUAGUGGUAACCUGGGUCGUUGCCAUUGAGAAAGUCUUCUCGACCCGCCGGGGGUUCGAUUCCCUCUUAAUGCA